rnacentral:rRNA from 1 species
CGGGAGGGGCUAGCGUUGUUCGGAAUUACUGGGCGUAAAGCGCACGUAGGCGGCUUUGUAAGUUAGAGGUGAAAGCCCGGGGCUCAACUCCGGAAUUGCCUUUAAGACUGCAUCGCUAGAAUCGUGGAGAGGUGAGUGGAAUUCCGAGUGUAGAGGUGAAAUUCGUAGAUAUUCGGAAGAACACCAGUGGCGAAGGCGACUCACUGGACACGUAUUGACGCUGAGGUGCGAAAGCGGUGGGGAGACAAAUAGGAUUAGAUACCCUGGUAGUCCACGCUGUAAACGAUGAUGACUAGCUGUCUGGGCGCUUAGCGUUCAGGUGGCGCAGCUAACGCGUUAAGUCAUCCGCCUGGGGAGUACGGCCGCAAGGUUA